rnacentral:rRNA from 1 species
CGGGUGAGUAGUGUAUGGGGAUCUGCCUGAUGGCGGGGGAUAACUACUGGAAACGGUAGCUAAUACCGCAUAAUGUCUGCGGACCAAAGCGGGGGACCUCCGGGCCUCGCGCCAUCAGAUGAACCCAUAUGGGAUUAGCUAGUAGGUAAGGUAACGGCUUACCUAGGCGACGAUCCCUAGCUGGUCUGAGAGGAUGAUCAGCCACACUGGGACUGAGACACGGCCCAG